rnacentral:rRNA from 1 species
AAUGAACGCUGGCGGCGUGCCUAAUACAUGCAAGUCGAGCGAACAGAUGAGGAGCUUACUGCUCUGCCGGUAGCUACGGACUGGUGAGGAGCACGUUGCUAACCUAUCUCUAAGGCUAAGAGAACUUCGUGACAGCGGUGCUCAUACCGGGUAAUAUAUUUCAGCGAAUGGUUCGAUCGUGAAAGACUGGUUUGCUGUUACUUAUAGGUCGUACCGCGCCGCAUUAGCUAGUUGGUAAGGUAACGGCUUACCAAGGCAACGAUGCGAAGCCGACCUGAGAGGGUGAAUGGAUAGACGGUAAGUGAGAAACGGUCCAGACUCUGACGGGAGGCAGCAGUAGGGAAUCCUCCGCGAUGGGCGAAAGGCUGAUGGAGGAACGCCGCGUGAGUGAUGAAGGUCUCCGGAUCGUAAAGCUCUGUUAGUAGGGAAGAAGAAAUGUGUAAGUACCUAGGCACGUCUUGACGGUACCUAAUCAGAAAGCCACGGCUAACUACGUG